UUUUGAUUUUCGUUUGGCGCUAAACUGUUUUACCAAAUGCCGUGUUCUCCAGUGGUGGUUGAGUUUGAAUUUGAAAGAAUUAACCAGGCAUCAAAGCAACUAUGGUUCUAAACCUUUGUUUCGUAACUGUGCUCUUGCGAUCUUUUCUGGCUUUACUGAAGUAGAAAUUUGAAUUUUGCAAGCUCCUAAGUUGUAGAUCAGAGAGGUGGAAGACUUCAAUUCAGGACAUGGGAGGUGGAACUUCAAUAAUAAGAUAUCGAAUUUGCUUGGGAAGUCUGAUGGAAAGAGACAUAUUCCUAACAAAAGCAAGAAAAGAGGCAAUUUUCAAACUGUGGUAUCCACUUUUCUAUUGUCUGCUAUUAUUAGUCACAAUUUGUCUUAUGUGAGGUUGUUUCCAUAAUAAAUUGUAAAAGAUCCAACCAUUAUGAU